rnacentral:lncRNA from 1 species
AUGGAUUCCUGGCUGCGGGCCGGGCAGUUAGGAGCCGUUCCCUCCCCAGCAAGCCCAAGGUCAAGCUCCUUAAAAACGCAGCAGAGGCCUGAGGCUGGACGAACCGUGAGGGAGGGUCCCAGACCCAGGGUCCGUCCUCGCCUUUAUUUCUGUAAAAACAGCACGGGAGCAAUUCUGGGGGAAUCGUGUCCCCACUGCAAGUAUUGCAUUGGAUAUGAAAUAGUCAAAACCCAAGGUGACAAGUGGGCCAGCCUGGGGAAGGGGACAUGUCGGUCCUUGAAGGCACAGCAGCAUUGGCCAGAGGAGGCAGCCCCAGCCCCAUGGCCAGGGCUGGACGGCAGUCCCUGGCCUUGCUCACCUGUGGCCAGCUCAUCUCCAGCACCCCAUGGCCCGGAUGAGGGCCUCUGAGGCGGAGACGGAGUGGGACAGCCCCUCAGCCCCUGCCUCCAGCGACCUCUUCCGGGUUGUGCCCCUGUUCUGAGGGUGAGGGGAAGACUUGGCCACCUGGGGGCCAGACAGCACAGGACACAGGCCACUCCUGUGCCUCCAGCACAAGGUCGAGGCUGUUCAUAGGCCUCUCCUGAGGUCGGGGAGACCGAGGGUCCAAGGCCAAGACCUGCAGGGGGUCUAACGGGGAUGGAGAGCACAGCCCUAUCCCUCCUCCUUGUGGGAUGGGGGGGGGGCCUUGCCAGGGCAACCUGGGAAGCCUCUGAGCCAGGGACUCCUCCCGGCUGGCUCGUCAUAGGUGGGGGGCAAGGCCGGGGCUGGCAAGCCCACCCCCCCCACCAUGUACCCACAACCUUCACGUGGGAGUCAGAGGUGGCUGACGUGGUGGUGGGGACAGGCAACUUUGGCACAGUACUGAGGGUGGGCAAAGGAAUGGUGGUCAAGGUGGCUGUGACGCCGGAGGUGACCACUCAGAAGUUGUGCUCGGCUGUGGCGCAGGCGCGUUCCCUUGGGG